GAAAAGAGGGUUCAGCAACAGGCUCUGAGUACCAGGCAGAUAGGCAGGCUCUGGGGCAGUUGAGGCUGAUUCACUGGGUGCUCUGGGGAGCUGUUGCUUUCCGUAGAGAUUUGCCACACAGAGCCCUUAAGUAGCCAGGCCACUCCUAAGGCUGCACAGAGGAGGAGACCUAUCACCCCACCUGAGCCAGGCAGCCCAGGAAAGCUGAGACCGGACUGGCCACAGCAACCUCCUUGGUUUGAUUGCAAGGCCCUGGUCUCCAUCUCUCUGAAGGUGUAGUAUGAUACAUCACUUAGUGUUCAGUCAAAUAUGUGAAUCAAAGUUAAGUACGGUGGGAGAAUUGUUUGAUAAGUUCAUGAACCUUUUCCCACCAAAUAAUCAAAGAGAUGACCCAGGGUCUCAUCAUUCAACCAAAAUAGGGAAUUACUGGUUUUGACAUUCACCUUGGGAGGUCGGAGAAAUGGACCAUGCUGAUUAUCCACUCACUCGUCCAUUAAUUCAGAGGUUUAUUAAGUACCUACCAAGUACAUAAGAAUAUGCUAGGCUUUGUGGCAGCUGAGACAGAAAGAGAAGGUAAUAAUGCCUAGAAUGUUUGUUAUGCUGUACAACUUACAAAGACUUUUCACAUCAAUUACUUUUUCACAACCAAAGUGAAGUACCCACAGCAAUGUGGUGAGGUCACAUUUACAUUCUCAAAGUAUCUAGCCUGUGACCACUUUCUCCUGAGUGGUACUGCCAGGAUUAGAACACUCAAGGAGCUCACACUAGAGUUAGAAGAGGAAGAUAUAAAGAGAUCUGAAAUAACUUCAGGGUGACAUGAAAAUGAGGGCUUGAAAGUGUGAGCCAGAGGUAAAAUAAAAAAUAAGGAAAAGAUUGAUGGGUACUCAAGGCAAACUUGGUAAAGAAUAGCAUUUUUUGCUGGGAGUUUGACAGUUGACACAGCCUUGAAGGAAAUUAGAGAUUUGGACAGGGCUUCUGUCCAUUUCCCUUUGUAAAUGGCAAAUGGUAUAGAGCUUCAGCAGAGGCUCUUCAGUGCCACCGGAAACAUCUAGGCAGGAGGGCUCCAUCAUACCUGUGGUCCUCAGCCAUUUCCUAACCUUCCCCAUUUGCCAUAUCCUCACUUCACUUGCAAAGACCAAUAUGUGUAUGCUCUUUUUGUCUUGGCCUCAUACACAGUUGAUGCUCUGGUGGAAAACGCACUAAGCCCCUCUUCUUGCCAUCUCAGCAUCUGUAGAACGACCAGUGAGCCCAGAAUCUCAAAGCAAGCAUAAGAGCAGGGAUAAGUGAGAAGAGUGGGAAAGAAGACAUCCUCUUUUAUGACUAAGACAAGUAGUGAAUGCUGGAGGUCCUAGGUCUCAGG
rnacentral:lncRNA from 1 species